GAACGCACAUUGCGCCCGCUAGUAUUCUGGCGGGCAUGCCUGUCCGAGCGUCAUUAGAACCCUCGGGACCCCUUCUGGCAAUAGCCCGGAGGGGCCCCGGCGUUGGGGAUCGGCUGCCCCCGCGGCUGCCGGCCCCGAAAUCUAGUGACGGUCUCACCGCAUACUCCUUUGCGUAGUAAAACACCUCGCACUGGACGGCUGGAGUGACCACGUCGUUAACCCCCAACUUUAUAAGGUUGACCUCGGAUCAGGUAGGAAUACCCGCUGAACUUAAG
rnacentral:misc_RNA from 1 species